rnacentral:misc_RNA from 1 species
GUUUAAACUUAUAGUACAUAUUCUGUCAAACAAGCAAGCGUAAAUGUAAAAAGCCUGACGGCUUUUCCAAGAUGGUUAUUGAUCCUUCCGCAGGUUCACCUACGGAAA